AUUGAACUCUUGCGGCAGGCCUAACACAUGCAAGUCGAACGAGUGGCGGACGGGUGAGUAAUGUCUGGGAAACUGCCCGAUGGAGGGGGAUAACUACUGGAAACGGUAGCUAAUACCGCAUACCAUCGGAUGUGCCCAGAUGGGAUUAGCUAGUAGGGGGGGUAACGGCUCACCUAGGCGACGAUCCCCAGCUGGUCUGAGAGGAUGACCGGCCACACUGGAACUGGGACACGGUCCAGACUCAUACGGGAGGCAUCAGUGGGGAAUAGUGGACAAUGGGCGCAAGCCUGAUGCAGCCAUGCCGCGUGUAUGAAGAAGGCCUUCGGGUUGUAAAGUACUUUCAGCGAGGAUGCGUUACUCGCAGAAGAAGCACCGGCUAACUCCGUGCCAGCAGCCGCGGUAAUUC
rnacentral:rRNA from 1 species